CACGUGGGGAACCUGCCCCAUAGUCUGGGAUACCACUUGGAAACAGGUGCUAAUACCGGAUAAGAAAGCGGAUCGCAUGAUCAGCUUUUAAAAGGCGGCGUAAGCUGUCGCUAUGGGAUGGCCCCGCGGUGCAUUAGCUAGUUUGUAAGGUAAAGGCUUACCAAGGCGAUGAUGCAUAGCCGAGUUGAGAGACUGAUCGGCCACAUUGGGACUGAGACACGGCCCAAACUCCUACGGGAGGCAGCAGGC
rnacentral:rRNA from 1 species